ensembl:lincRNA
CUUUUCCCAUGGCUGGACAUACCAUGGAGCCAGUUAAAAUAAUACUCCUCAUUAAUAAGGUGCUAGUUCAAAUGUCACCUCCUGAAAGAGGGCUUCUCUGACCACCUUAGCCACAGGAAAUACUCUUCACAUAUUAUAUGAGAACCUUAUAACAGUAUACUUCCAUUUCUCCUCUCCAGACCUUUCUGCUGUUGUUAUGCAUUUUACUUAUGCACAUGUUAUAAACUGCAUAAUACAUUUUUUGCUUAGUCACUUUCUAUCCCAUUACCCCAACUUAUUUUGUUAAUACUGUUUGCUACCUGGAAUUAUCUAAUUUAUCUACUUGUUCAUUUUCUGUUUUUUCAACCUAGAAUGCAAAUUGCAAGAGGGCAGAUAAAUGGUUCAUUCUGUUUCUAUUCACCAUUUCAUCGCAGGAAUGGAAGCAUAAUAGGCUCUCAGAACAUUUUUGUUCAGUGUUCAAUUGAUGAACAUAGGAGAGAGCUCAGGCUAACUUGGAAGUCAUUUAUGUGUAAGCACAGGUGAGUGUGAGUAUUGGUGAGUGUGAAGUUAGUCUCUUUGGAAUAUAUUCUCAAUCUUUCUGCUAUCUUUCACCAUCUCCUUCUCUUUUCCAAAGGGCAACUGGUUGUUACAGAAAAGAGAACAUUCAAGAAAUCAUGGAGGUGGAAUACAGGAACCUGGGCACCACAUACACAGAUUACGUGUUGCUCCGGGUUCUUUUGCCUUGACUCCAUAUCUGCCCCCUCAGUCUCUCCAGGACACAAUGUGGAAAACAUGGCCACUGACAGAUCUUUGCUGGAAAGUUUAUAUUCAUUGAUUGCUCAAGGCAAGUGCUGCAGCUUGGUGAAAUCCCUUUCUAAAAAUAAAAAUGUACAACAGGUACUCAGAUAUCCUUACACUGCCUACUUUCCACCGCUGACUUCCACUUCCCUCCAAGAAAGUAGAAGUUUGUGGGAAAUGGAAAAUAUGGAAGGUGGGUAAACAAUGGGGGAUCGGAAAAGGAGAAAAGAGAAAGAG